CAUUACUGAGUGAGGGCCCUCUGGGUCCAACCUCCCACCCGUGUUUAUUGUACCUUGUUGCUUCGGUGCGCCCGCCUCACGGCCGCCGGGGGGCUUCUGCCCCCGGGUCCGCGCGCACCGGAGACACCAUUGAACUCUGUCUGAAGAUUGCAGUCUGAGCAUAAACUAAAUAAGUUAAAACUUUCAACAACGGAUCUCUUGGUUCCGGCAUCGAUGAAGAACGCAGCGAAAUGCGAUAACUAAUGUGAAUUGCAGAAUUCAGUGAAUCAUCGAGUCUUUGAACGCACAUUGCGCCCCCUGGUAUUCCGGGGGGCAUGCCUGUCCGAGCGUCAUUGCUGCCCUCAAGCACGGCUUGUGUGUUGGGCUCCGUCCCCCCGGGGACGGGUCCGAAAGGCAGCGGCGGCACCGAGUCCGGUCCUCGAGCGUAUGGGGCUUUGUCACCCGCUCUGUAGGCCCGGCCGGCGCCAGCCGACAACCAAUCAUCCUUUUUCAGGUUGACCUCGGAUCAGGUAGGGAUACCCGCUGAACUUAAGCAUA
rnacentral:rRNA from 1 species